GCCAGCGGCAAUAGCACGUCCUAUUGUUAGGUACCGCUGAAGUUAAGCAACGUUCCGCGUGGUUGGUAUUCGGAUGGGUGACCAUCUGGGCAAUAGCGUGCUGCUGACU
rnacentral:rRNA from 1 species